AGAGUUUGAUCCUGGCUCAGAUUGAACGCUGGCGGCAUGCCUUACACAUGCAAGUCGAACGGCAGCACGGACCUCGGUCUGGUGGCGAGUGGCGAACGGGUGAGUAAAGCAUCGGAACGUGCCCGAUCGUGGGGGAUAACGCAGCGAAAGCUGCGCUAAUACCGCAUAAGAUCUACGGAUGAAAGCGGGGGACUCGCAAGAGCCUCGCGCGAACGGAGCGGCCGAUGUCAGAUUAGGUAGUUGGUGGGGUAAAGGCCCACCAAGCCGACGAUCUGUAGCUGGUCUGAGAGGACGACCAGCCACACUGGGACUGAGACACGGCCCAGACUCCUACGGGAGGCAGCAGUGGGGAAUUUUGGACAAUGGGCGCCAGCCUGAUCCAGCCAUGCCGCGUGCAGGAAGAAGGCCUUCGGGUUGUAAACUGCUUUUGUACGGAGCGAAAAGGCCCCUACUAACACUGGGGGUCCAUGACGGUACCGUAAGAAUAAGCACCGGCUAACUACGUGCCAGCAGCCGCGGUAAUACGUAGGGUGCAAGCGUUAAUCGGAAUUACUGGGCGUAAAGCGCGCGCAGGCGGUUUUGUAAGACAGAGGUGAAAUCCCCGGGCUCAACCUGGGAACUGCCUUUGUGACUGCAAAGCUGGAGUGCGGCAGAGGGGGAUGGAAUUCUGCGUGUAGCAGUGAAAUGCGUAGAUAUGCGGAGGAACACCGAUGGCGAAGGCAAUCCCCUGGGCCUGCACUGACGCUCAUGCACG
rnacentral:rRNA from 1 species